UUAUGAUAACCUGGGAUCAUC
rnacentral:piRNA from 1 species